UAUCGGGGUUCGAUUAAGCCAUGCGAGUCGAGAGGGUUCGGCCCUCGGCGUACUGCUCAGUAACACGUGGAUAACCUGCCCUAAGGAAGGGGAUAACCCCGGGAAACUGGGAAUAAUACCCUAUAGGUUACAGAUGCUGGAAUGCUCUGUAACUCAAAGUUCAGGCGCCUUAGGAUGGAUCUGCGGCCGAUUAGGUUGUUGUUGGGGUAACGGCCCAACAAGCCAGUAAUCGGUACGGGUUGUGGGAGCAAGAGCCCGGAGUUGGAUUCUGAGACACGAAUCCAGGCCCUACGGGGCGCAGCAGGCGCGAAAACUUUACAAUGCGGGCAACCGUGAUAAGGGAACCUCGAGUGCCUGUAUAUGCAGGCUGUCCAGGUGUCUAAAACACACCUGAAGAAAGGGCCGGGCAAGACCGGUGCCAGCCGCCGCGGUAAUACCGGCGGCUCGAGUGGUGGCCACUUUUAUUGGGCUUAAAGCGUUCGUAGCUGGGUUGUUAAGUCUCUUGGGAAAUCCGGCGGCUCAACCGUCGGGCGUCUAAGAGAUACUGGCAGUCUUGGAACCGGGAGAGGUGAGGGGUACUUCGGGGGUAGGAGUGAAAUCCUGUAAUCCUCGAGGGACCACCUGUGGCGAAGGCGCCUCACCAGAACGGCUUCGACAGUGAGGGACGAAAGCUGGGGGAGCAAACCGGAUUAGAUACCCGGGUAGUCCCAGCCGUAAACGAUGUGCGUUAGGUGUAUCGACGACCACGAGUCGUCGAGGUGCCGAAGGGAAACCGUGAAACGUACCGCCUGGGAAGUACGGUCGCAAGGCUGAAACUUAAAGGAAUUGGCGGGGGAGCACCACAACAGGUGGAGCCUGCGGUUUAAUUGGACUCAACGCCGGGAAUCUCACCGGAUAAGACAGCGGAAUGAUUGCCGGGCUGAAGACUCUGCAUGACUAGCUGAGAGGAGGUGCAUGGCCGUCGUCAGUUCGUACUGUGAAGCAUCCUGUUAAGUCAG
rnacentral:rRNA from 1 species